rnacentral:rRNA from 1 species
AUUGAACGCUGGCGGCGUGCCUAAUACAUGCAAGUCGAGCGGUAAGGCCACUUCGGCGGUACACGAGCGGCGGACGGCUGAGUAACACGUAGGAACGUACCCCAAACUGAGGGAUAACUGCUCGAAAGAGUAGCUAAUACCGCAUGUGCUCUUCGGAGUAAAGCUACGGCGGUUUGGGAACGGCCUGCGCAUGAUUAGCUUGUUGGUGAGGUAAUGGCUCACCAAGGCGACGAUCAUUAGCUGGUCUGAGAGGAUGAUCAGCCAGACUGGGACUGAGAACGGCCCAGACUCCUACGGGAGGCAGCAGUAGGGAAUUUUCCACAAUGGGCGAAAGCCUGAUGGAGCAACGCCGCGUGCAGGAUGAAUGCCUUCGGGUUGUAAACUGCUUUUAUCUGUGACGAUUAUGACGGUAGCAGAUGAAUAAGGAUCGGCUAACUCCGUGCCAGCCGCCGCAGUAAAAC